CCCUUAGAUGUUCUGGGCCGCACGCGCGCUACACUGAUGCAUUCAACGAGUUUCUUCCUGGUCCGAGAGGAAUGGGUAACCUUUUGACAGUGCAUCGUGAUAGGGAUAGACUAUUGCAAUUAUUGGUCUUCAACGAGGAAUUCCUAGUAGACGUAGUUCAUCAGACUGCAUCGAUUACGUCCCUGCCCUUUGUACACACCGCCCGUCGCUCCUACCGAUUGAAUGCUCAGGUGAGCCAUUCGGACUUUCAUCAUGCUGGUUUCCAGUUUUGAUGAAGGAAAGUCUUGCGAACCUUAUCAUUUAGAGGAAGGAGAAGUCGUAACA
rnacentral:rRNA from 1 species